UACCAAAUAGAGGAUUGUGUGUUAAUUACGGUAUUCCAUUACCAAAAGUCUGUUGGUUCAUUGAUGAGAAUGGCUGAAUAUGGCUGGUUCGGGGCUGCUGGUUGUAUGGCUGGUUGAAUUCAGGCUGUAGGUCAUUGGUAGGCAGAGGAGAGGCAUAUGGGAGCAACUGGAGGUGCGGCAUCUUUGAAUAUUAGCCUGGCAAUCACUUGCCUUCCAAGCCACUUGAUCACCUUCCUCUCUGAUCUACAAGUCUCCAUUAUCAAGCAUCACGAGAGUCUGCAACUUCAACCCAUCAGCGUUACUAUACCAAACUGGCCUGCCCCCAUCAUAAAUCUCAAGGCCAAAGAGAAAAUCAGAAACACUACCUAGUGAGAGCUGAGGGCUAUCAAAUUAACUCUUGCUAUCCGAAAAAGAUCAAAGCAGCGCUACCAGGUAAGAAGAUAGCAAUGUUCAAGUCAUGCUCAGCAGCACCAGAUGACAAUGUUAAGCAAGAACCCAAAAAAUGUUAAGCAAAAUGUCAGAAGGCAUCCACACCUUGGUAUUCUCUCCCCUUUCUGUGUUGAUGGAAUCAAGUCACAAGCCUGGCCACUAUUUUUAUUUCAAUUUAGUCAUGCUGAUUGAAUUUUAUCAACCAAUCAAUUAAGCUGUUAUAAAGAAAUAUUGAGAAUGAUUUCUUAAAAAGAAAUGAAAUUUAAAAUUUAAAAAUAAGAAAAAGAAAAAGAAACAUUAUGAACCAUCACAUUUCUUCGAACAUGUUGAAGGGACACAACUUUUGCUACUUUCUUCCUUUUAUUCAUUUUUGGUGAGUGCCUUGAGAGUUCUUUGUUUUAUUCGUGUACCGUUGAUGAGUGCCUUGAGAGUUCUUUGUUUUAUUCGUGUACCGUUGAUGAGUGCCUUGAGAGUUCUUUGUUUUAUUCAUUUACCAUUGAGUGUGUGUUGUCUUCGUCGCUGGUGGCAUGCUCAAGGUAUGUCGUCCCCUUUGUUCAUUUCACAGUGAUAAUGCAUCAUGAUGGCAGUCUCUUCACAUUUUCUUGUAAUCUUUUCAUUUGUAUUUGUUAAUAAUUAUGGUUAUGGAUGUAUGCACAUGUGUAAUGGGUUCAAGCAUGCAUCUUUAUAUGAUGAUCAUGAUGGAAAACGUACCAUGCAUGACGUAUAUUUUCUCUCCACCGCAUGCCACCACCAUUUAUACCUUAGAUGCAUCGGUAGUGCCUUUGCACAUACAUGCUUAACUAAAAUUCAUACUAUGGCUUAGAAUAAUGAUAGUAAAAACAUGAUUUACAUAGAUAUAAUGGCAGCAUGGGACUUAUUGGAUGCCUCUGCCUGAAAGCUGAAGAGUAUCUCGUCGGGUAGAGUUCAUUAAAAAAAAAAGAAACAAGAAACGACAAAUUCACCCACCCGCACGAACACGUAUAUCUGUCAUCAUUGUUUUCAUCGUGGUUUUCUUCUUGCCUCUGUACUUCUUCAAUAGUUUUUACUGUGUAUAAUAAUCUAGAACAAAUAAUAUAAUAAUGAUGUUAAGUGGAAACCAAACAUAGAGAAAGAAAUAAGCACACAUAUGAGGUGGUGAUGAGGCAGCUGCAUUAUGUAAUGAUCUGGCAGUGCACUACUGAUCUAUGUCAAAUUGUGAAUUGUGCGAUUUACAAAUUUUUAAAUGACUUUUGUACUCUUCAUAUUUGUGAAAGAUCUAUUUGAUGGUUUAAUUUAAAUCAUCAUUUAAUGUUGUUUGUUUGGAGUUAUUUAGUAACAAUGCCCAAUGAUUUUAGAAAUUAGAGGUUGGAAGGGUUUUUCUGGAAUGCUUUAAUUUUAAAUUAAAAUGUUUUGGAGAAAAAAUUGGCCUUAAAAAUUAUGGUCAUUACAAACUUUGUUUAGAGAUUGCUGUGGUAUCUGAUUACCUAUUUCUUCUUUCCAACUACUGCAACUCUUGCUGAAGGCUUCCCAAGACAAGCGGGUUUGUAUGCAAAGAAGCUGAAAUGGGCUUGAAUGCCAUGGUGAAGUCCUCCCCUACACUUCCUCUAUUGACUAAGCUGGAACAUUUUGUGAACCAUUCCAAUUUUAGAGUGGAAGCAAAGGCUGUUGUUUCCAUCUCUAACUAAAUCUCGAAAUUGGUAACCACUUGUUAUUGUUCUUUACUAGCCAAACAACAUUGCCAAACAUUUCUAGUGAUCAUCUAUAAAAUGGUCACAAGUCUAAUCUGAGUCACAUAGCUCUUUGAGACAUGAAACUCCAUGCUUUUGAUCAUGGCAAUUGACAAGCAACCAGGUUUGAGGGUGAAAAGUGACUGUAACAGUCACAAGAACCAUCACUUAGCACUAAGGCCACAAGGAAGAAGAAGAAUAUCUUAUUGAAUUGCUGAACUGCUGCAAAUGCUUACAAUGAAUACAAAAAGGAAUUAGCAAAAAGGAAAAAGCAGCAAGGACGAGCGCCAUUGGACUAGUACCAACUGCUCCUAUAGGAGCCGUUGGAACUAGCCAACAGCCUAUUACACAAAAUAAUAAAAAACUAAAAUAAAAAGCUAAAAUUUACAUUAAUUCCUAUACUUCAAGUACUCACACUAAAAACAUAUGAACAUAUAUUAUCUAUAGUCACAUAUGUACAUAUACAUACAUGAAAAAUAGGUAACAUAUGCAUAUGUAUUUAAUGCAAAUACUAUAUCUCUUAACACCUCCCCUCAAACUUAUGGUGCUAUUACCAAAAUUUUGUCUAAAAAAAAUUAAAUCUGAGUGAACAUACAAGUUUAUUAAAGAAAUCAGCCAGCUGGAAUUCAUAAGGAACAUAGGGAAGCUUGGUAGUUUUCUUCAGAAAUUCUUAACACACAUAAUGGCAAUCCAUUUAUAUAUGCUUGGUACAUUCAUGAAAUAUAUGAUUCUUAGUACAAUAAAUUAGAACUUUUGUUAUCACAGUACAACUUAGUAGGUUCUUCAAUUUCCAUUCCCAUUUUAAUAAGCAUUUAACGUAGCCAGAUGAUUUCCAUGGUUGUAGAGGCCAUGACACGCCAUUCAACUUCUAUAGAGGAAAGAGAAACCUUCUGUUGCUUCUUGUACUUCCAUGAAAUGAGUGAUUCUCCUAAAAAAAUGUCAAAUCUAGUGGUUGAAUGUCUAUUAUUUAGAUCUCUUCCUUAAUCAACAUUAGUAUAAGCAAUUAAAUCAAGGCAAGAAGAAGAAGCGAAAAAUACUCUCUUGUUUAUCGUUCCUUUGAUAUAUCUGAAAUGCAAAUAAUAACUCCCAUAUGAACGAAUAAUGAAGCAUAUUUGAUGGUGACCCUCAUAAUGUAAGGCCUGGUUGAUGGUUUCAAUCAAUUGAGAACAAUUACUAUAAGUCAUAGCACAUGGCCAGUGGUUCUCAUUGUCUGUAAUUUACCCCCAUGGAUGGUUAUGAAGCAACUACUAGAACAUAGAGAAACAAAGAGUUUUUGAAAAGAUGUUUAUAGAGGUUCGAUAUACACCCACAUCAUCUUCUCUAAUCACAGCUUGCUUGCUGAGUUGAGGUUCCAUUAUGUUUUUAUAGAUGUACAAGACUCAACGGUUCUAGGGUUAUAAUUUUGGAAUACACAGUUUCUUUCUUUUAUAGAUUUAUAGACAUUAAUUCUUUCUCACUUUCUUUCCUUUGUCAUCUGGUGUCUUAACAGCAACCAUAUAUGAUAUUAAGUUUGUUAAUUGCUGGUCCAUCUUGUACUAGAAAUGAUAUAGACGUAUAUUUACAACUUCUCAUUGAAGAAUUGCAAGAGUUGUACAAUGAAGUGAACACAUAUGAUGCUUAAAAAAAAACAUUCAAGAUGUGUGUUGCUUUUCUUUGGACAAUUAAUGAUUUUCUUGCAUAUACUAAUUUAUCAAGGUGGAGUACCAAUGUAGAUUUGCUUGCCCCCAUUGUCGAACCGAGAGCAACCCUGUUUGGCUGAAGAAUAGCUGAAAAUUUUGUUAUAUGGGUUAUCAUCGAUUUUUACCAUUUGAUCACAUGUACUGAUUUGCUAGACAUUCAUUUGAUGAAGAUUUUGAAUCUCGAGAUGCUCCAAUAACCACUUUUGGAUUAUUUAGAAGUGUAAUAGACCACAAAUAUAUUUGGAAAAAACAACAACAGAGUUCAACUGUCAACAAUGUCAUUAAAUUGGAAGAAAGUAUAUUUGUUGAGUUGUCAUAUUAGCAACACAAUGAAUUACAACACAAUUUAGAUGUCAUGCAUAUUGAGAAGAAUGUUUGUGAUAACAUUUUGUAUACGUUGUUGAAUGUAGAAGGGAGGACUAAGUAUUCUUACAAGACUAUAUUAGAUUUGCAAGAUAUGAACAUUAGACAUGCACUUCAUCUAAUCAAUAUUUCUAAUUGCAAUAAAGCUCAUAUACUACCUGCUUGCUUCUCAAUGAUGAGAGAUGAGAAAAAAAUCUUUUGUGGAGUUUUGAAAAAGUUAAAAGCUCUUGAUGGUUUUGCAUCAAAUAUCUCAAGAUGUGUGCAAAUGAAAGAAAUGAAAUUAGUGGGUCUCAAUAGUCAUGAUUGCCAUAUUCUAAUGCAUCACUUUCUUCUAUUGGCAAUUAGAAAAUUACUGUUGAAAGAUGUUGGCUUGGUAUUGGUUGAGUUUUGUAGAUUUUGCAAGAAGUUAUGUUCAAAAGUAGUGAGUGAAAAUGACUUCUAGCAAUUAGAUAAAAAAAUUAGUAUUAUACUUCGCAAACUUGAGAAAAUUUUUCUAUCUUAUUUUUCUUUUAUAUUAUGGUGCAUCUACCAAGCCAUUUGGCUCAAGAAGCAAAUUUAAGAUGACAUGUGCAAUAUCGUCGGAUGUAUCUGAAUAAAAGGUAAAUGAGUGUCAAGUGAACAUGAUAGAUUGUUUAUUCUAUUUCUAAUAAUAUAAUAUAUACACUUCAUACGUUCAUGUUACAGGUGUCUUAUGACACUUAGGCUGCGUUUGAUGCACAGGAAAAAUCCUGUGCAUCGGUUGAAAAUGGUACGAGAGGUAAAAAUUUACAAUGUUAGGUGGUGAGUGCAUCAAACGUCAAUAAAUUUACCCUGCAAAAAUGGUAUGACCGUGGAGAUUUUAACCUGCAAAAAAGUCUGACCUCUUGAGGUCGGACUUUUUUGGAGAGAUAUUUUUGAGAGCCGUUACGCUCUCUCGUUCCUUUCAGCGCUUCUUCCCCUCUCACAGGCUCUUCCACUGCGUCUCCCCUUCUUCUUCAACUUCAACACCCUGACCUGCGGAAGAAAGGUGCUCUAGGCUUCCAGCCCUAAUCGUUCCACUACGUCUCCCCUUUUUCUUCAACUGCAACGCCCUAACCUGCGGAAGAAAGGUGCUCCAGGCUUUCAACCCUAAUCGUUCCACUGCGUCUCCCCUUCUCUCUCUCUCUCUCAUUCAUUUGUUGUCUUCAAUGUGCUAGUCCUCAAAGUUCUUGAGCACCUCCGUCGUAGAGUGGUGGGAGAUCUCGGAUAGGCUGCCAGCAGUGCUUGUGGUGGAAGAGGGCUUCUUUGGAGAGGAGGAAGAGGUGAGGAUCUGAGUGAAGGUCUGGAAGAGCUUGAGGAAGAGAGGAACGAGGAGGAACUUUAUCAAGUUGGAGAGCACGCCUUUGCCUUUGGGAGAGAUGCAGGAGGAGUCAUCGUCAGAGGAACAUCGCCAUUUUGGUCCUUCUGCCAAUGUUAAAAAGAGACAUGGUGGUACUUGGUAAUGGAGGAAGAGGGGUAAUGGGACAGUCAUGAAAAAGACUACCUUUUUUUGCACAGAUCUUUGUUCAGACAUGUUAAGAUGAUCUGUCUGGGUUGUUGAUCCAUCCUCUCCUAUAUGAGCGCCUCUUUGAGUUGGAGAUGCAGGUCAAGUCUUAGUGUUGAAAGUCAUAGCAGCAAUGCUAUUAAUUUGCUAUGCGUAAAGGAGUAGAAAUAACUAGCUAGACCAAAAUGGCGAUGUUCAGUUAAAUUCCUUCUGCUUUGGCUUAUUUAUUGGUAGGCAAAGGGAAAUGGCUCGAAAACGGAAGAGCUAUUUCCUGGUUCCAAGUUCUGGAUGGUGAUUAACAAUUACAAAGAUUUUUCAGUGUCGAGCGUUGCCAAAUGACAAUAAACUUGAAAAGUGCAGUGAAGGACCUAUAGAUUUUCUAGAAAUUGUAGAUUGUGAGAAGCAGCUGGUAGCAUUCUCUGUUUUGGGUUUCUACUAUAGCCAUCGACUUAUGCUCAAGGUCACUCUUUCAUUAGUUAGAGGCCGUUUCAAUUUAUAUUCACAUGAAAUUGGAGGAGAACCAAUAACACAAUAAUUUUUAACGGUUAGGAAAAAAAUCGUUUCAAUUUAUAUUCACGUGAAAUUGGAGGAGAGCCAAUAACACAACAAUUUUUAACGGUCAAGAAAAAAAUCUCUAUUAAUUUUUACCAUGUACAUCAAACACAGUUAAAUUUACUGUGCAAAAAACUUCCCUGUAAUAAAAAAGGGCCUCAAAUCGGAAGAGGGUUAAAUUUCAUCCUGUAUUUUUUUCUAGAAAAAUUUACCGUGGUAAAUUUACCAUGUUAAAUUCUUCCUUGCAAUCAAACACACCCUUAAGUCACAUGUGUGUAAUAAAAGUCAUCCAAAGUGUUCAAUGAAUGUUUGACAUCUUGUUUUGAAUAUUAAGAUGAUGUCGAAAUUAAGUUAAAUCGUCUUGCAUGCAAUAAAUAUGAUGAAUAUGAAGACAGCAAUGGGUCAUCUACGUUAUUAAAAAAGAGACAACCUUUAGAAAAAAGAAAAAGAUUUGGUCAUUAUUGAUGAUGCCACAUUGAAGCAGGCACACCUAUAUGUUCUAUUCAAACAUCCCCUAGUCACAACAAAUAAAAUUGCUUUCAAAUUAGAUGAUACUAUAUUCUUUUCAUUAAUUUAAAGAAAACUAUUUUAACUUUUUUUUCCUUUCCCAUAGAUGCCACCGUGAAAUGUUUUCACAUAAAUGUAAAAGGUGACAUAGUGUAGAGAUAGCUUACAAAGAAGAGUUUCCAAAAUGGUUCAGAGAACAUGGAAGUUGUUGUGGUAUCUUGUUGUUAAAUUAUCACAUACACAACUAUUACUUCAUAAAUCUAUUGAAUAAUAACAAUUAUCAUGUUCCUGUAGAUUCAUUAUGAACGAGAGAAUUGAAGAGAAGUAUCAAAAGAAAUUAGGUAGUUGUCUCAAGGACCAUUGAAGAUGAAAAAAAUGUACAUGGGAUUCAUUGUCAAUGGAUUUAGAUUCCACACAAAAGAGAAAGAGAAGAAGAGAAAAACACAAAAUAGUGUUGUUGUUGUUUGUGCAUGGUUGUAUCAUUAUUUGAAUAGACAAAAUGCAAAUCCUUAGUUAAGAUAAGUGUCAUAUUAUUGCAUUUUUUAAGAUAUUACUGAGAUAGAGUCUUUUGAACACAUUAGGUUUGUUAUGUUCAAAUGAAAGUGGUUUGAUGUAUUCUCACCACUUAGUCGUAGCACCAAAAAAGAUGAAUUUGGAUUCACAAUGGUGAAUUCAAAGUACACUUGUAUGGAAGAUGAACCAUUUACAUUAGCUCCUCAAGUGAACCAAGUUUGCUAGAUCCAGUCGACUAUGACUGGAACACUGUUUUUUAUAGAUUCCUAGAGAUUUAUACAAUAUGCCACAUCAUUCCCAACAAAAUGAUGGAUACAAUUUGAGUGUAAUUCCCAUAUAUGUCAACGGAUAGUUCUAACCAUGACUGGAUCAGGAUAAACAUAGAUGGGGAUGACAUUGACAUACAUGAGCAAGGGCAUAAUAAGGGUGAAAUAGAUGAGGAAUAUUGUCUUUCAUUGGUAAGUCAUUACUUUCAAAUAGUUAAAUGCAUAAUACCAUUCAUAAUAACUCAUUUAUUUUUAUUUUUGUUCAUUCAUAGUACUCAUGUUUUCUCUUCACCUUAUUAGAUUUCAUAAUGAUUGGAGAAAUGAAAGAUUCAAAUCAAUAUGUUGUGGAUGUGCCAUUACUAGACAUUGUUCCUGACACUGAUGACCAAUAUGAUCUACCUUUGUCAAUGAUCAUAUCUAACAUUAAAGAACAAGAUGAUCUACCAUCACUAGAUGUCGUUCGUGACACUGAGUACUAUCAAAUGUUCUCCCUAAAAGUAAUACAAAAUGAUGAAUUAUUACAAAUAGUACUAGAUUCUGAAGAUGAUGAUGAUGAUUGUGUAUGACCAAGAAAAUGGAUGAAAGCACAUGAUGCAAGUUCUCUUAUUAAAAUAGAAGAACCUAGCGAGAACAUUAAUGUUUUUUUGUGGAUUUACUUUCCUUCUUAUGUUGAUUAGUUGUUUUUUUGUGCACAUGAUUUUGUUUCAUGUAAUAAGAACAACUAAAGAACAACUAGAACUCAUAUUUUUGGUUUAUAUGAGAGAUUGUUGAUGUUUGCAAAUUUUAAUUAUUUUCCAUAAUUUCUUGUUAUCUCUAUAUGUGCUCAUACAUGACAGGUUUUCAUCAUUAUGAGCCUCAUUGAAAACAAUACACUGGCCUCUUCUCCAAAAGGUGGAAACACUAAAGCUUCUAAUAUUAUUGAUGGAAAUGAAAUUAGAAAGUAUUACAACUGCCAGCUCUCCUGCUCGUGAUGCGCUUGAAGAGCAAUUACCCCCUUCAUCCACCAGUACGGGAGGUCAAAUGAGCUCAAAAACAACAGGGGGCAUUGACUGGUUCAUCUAGUGGAAGAAGAUCCUACCCAUCACAUGUCUCAAAUGUUCAUAAUAUUAUGGAUAUAAAUGUUCAUAUGCAAUUGAUGGGAAGACAUCCUCAAAUUGUUGUCAUGUGAUAGAAGAGGUGGGAGAUGCUCCUACAUGAGAUGCUUCACGGGGUACGGGUUCAAGAAUGUAUUUGUCCUUUGUAUAUUAAAGUUAUGUAUUAUUCUUAUUUGAUAAGAGGAUACAGCUGGGUCAU